GAUAUGAUUUUACUUUUAAGAAAGUUCAAAAAGUUUCUCAUAAAGAAAAACUUGAAGAAGAAAGAAAAUGAAGAAAAAAAAUAAAAGAAAAAUGUCACUUGCUAUAAUUGCAACAAGAGAAGUCACCACAAGUUGGAUUGCCUCUUACUCAAGAAGCAUCCAAAAAGGAUCAAGGAAAAAGUAAUGCUUGGUAUUUAGGGAGAUAGUGACAUUUCAAGCUCC
rnacentral:lncRNA from 1 species